AUUAAUGUUGUUUAGAUACUUAAAAGAGAACAGAUUAACUUUGCACCUCAUUAAUAUUUAUACUUUCUUGAAGGGUUAAAUGUUAACUUUGAAAGUCUAAAUUAAUAAUUAACCUCCUUAAAGAUUAAAAUUUACAAGGGUAACAUUUAACCCUUGAGUUUUUAACUUUCUACCAAACACACCAUAAGUCUAAAUGAUUCCAUUAUCAGAUUCUCCAUGUAGUAAAUCCUCAAACCCUAAUUAUUAUUUUCAUUGUUCUGCAAUUUUCUUUUUUUUUUUCGGUGGGGGGUGUAAAAUUUUGUAAAAUACCAUGUGGUUGACAAUUUUUUUUAAAUAAAAUGAUGCCAUGUGGCUGUUAAUUAGUCCACUUACACCAUUAUGGUAGGCCAAUGGGGCAGCCAUGUUUAAUCUUUUUUUCUUUUUUGCAUGUUGAAAUUAUUUAAACAAAUUUUAAUUAAAAAUGACCAUGGGUUAAAAAUUUUAUUAAAAACUUUCUGUUUAAUCACAGAUGACUUCCACAUCUAUCCACCAUAAAUGGCGUUAAGGGCUAAAAAAGGGUGCUAACCUCAUAAUGAAAAAUAAAAAACAAAAAAAUCCUUUAAAUGUCAGAUGUGCAAAACCAAAGUAUAUUUUUGAAGUUAUCCUUAUGUUUUCUGCAUGAUUUUCUAGGUUUAUCAAAUGGAAAAAUUGCUAUUUUGACAGAGGUAAUGGUGGAGAUGAGUUAAAAUUUCUUUUGCAUUAUAUGUAUUCUAAAGGGUUACUUAAUGUUGAGAAGGAUUCUUGGAGAGAAGAAUUUGUACUUCAGUAUUUAUUCGCCUUGUACACUCUUCCUAUUUAUAUA
rnacentral:misc_RNA from 1 species